AGAUUUUUACCGAGCCAGCCGUCCUUGGCUCUCGGCUUCUUCGUGAUCGAACGACCGACCAACAGAGAGACUCGCCUAGGUCCUUGAAGCUGGUGAAGGCUGCAGGAUUACAUGACGCCAAUGUUAAAAGCUUCUGGAACCGCCUGACCCCCGAGAACGGAAGGGAGGUAGGACGCGAUGAAUCAUGGAAUCCUUCAGUUAGGAUCAGAUACGAGAAUGUAAAGUCAGGUAGCUUCCGCUCGUGGUGAAUGCAUUGGGAGACUAAACGACCUUGCCCAUGCCUAAAUAGGUCACUGUAUAGAAAGAGGCUAAGAGGAGAGAAAGGGAGAAAGGGAUCUUACCAAGGUUAAAAUAUUC